CCUACGGGAGGCAGCAGUGGGGAAUAUUGGGCAAUGGGCGCAAGCCUGAACCAGCAACGCCGCGUGAAGGAAGAAGGCUUUCGGGUUGUAAACUUCUUUUCUCAGGGACGAAGCAAGCGACGGUACCUGAGGAAUAAGCCACGGAUAACUACGUGCCAGCAGCCGCGGUAAUACGUAGGUGGCAAGCGUUAGUCGGAUGUACUGGGUGUAAAGGGCGUGUAGGCGGGAAAGCAAGUCAGAUGUGAAAACCAUGGGCUCAACCGGUGUCCUGCAUUUGAAACUGUUAUUCUAGAGUACUGGAGAGGCAGGCGGAAGUCCUGGUGUAGCGGUGAAAUGCGUAGAUAUUAGGAGGAACACCAGUGGCGAAGGCGGUCUGCUGGACAGCAACUGACGCUGAGGCGCGAAAGCGUGGGGAGCAAACAGGAUUAGAUACCCGGGUAGUC
rnacentral:rRNA from 1 species